AAGACCUUGUGCUUUUGGAGCGGCCGAUGCCUGAUUAGCUAGUUGGUAGGGUAAAGGCCUACCAAGGCUACGAUCAGUAGUUGGUCUGAGAGGACGACCAGCCACACUGGGACUGAGACACGGCCCAGACUCCUACGGGAGGCAGCAGUGGGGAAUUUUGGACAAUGGGCGAAAGCCUGAUCCAGCAAUGCCGCGUGAGUGAAGAAGGCCUUCGGGUUGUAAAGCUCCUUCAGUUGAGAAGAAAAAGUUGUGACUAAUAAUCACAAUUUAUGACGGUACCGACAGAAGAAGCACCGGCUAACUACGUGCCAGCAGCCGCGGUAAUACGUAGGGUGCAAGCGUUAAUCGGAAUUACUGGGCGUAAAGGGUGCGCAGGCGGCUCUGUAAGUCAGAUGUGAAAUCCCCGGGCUUAACCUGGGAAUU
rnacentral:rRNA from 1 species